AAAUAAGAUAUCAAGGGCAACAGGUGAAUGCCUUGGCGCUGAGAGGCGAUGAAAGACGCGGUAAGCUGCGAUAAGCAUCGGGGAGGAGCUAAACAUCCUACGAUCCGAUGAUUUCUGAAUGGGGAAACCCGAUGGGAGUCAUGUCCCGUCAUCCUGAGCUGAAUAUAUAGGCCCAGAGAAGCCAACCCGGGGAAGUGAAACAUCUCAGUACCCGGAGGAAGAGAAAUCAAACGAGACUCCCAAAGUAGCGGCGAGCGAAAUGGGAAGAGCCCAAACCGGGUGGUUUCGACCAUUCGGGGUUGUAGGGCCGGCAUACGCGAUUCUGGAGUAGGCAGAGGAAGUGAGCUGGAAAGCUCCGCCACAGCGGGUGAUAGCCCCGUACUCGAAACCGAAAAGGACGCAGCCGGUACCUGAGUACUGCGAGGCACGUGGAACCUCGUGGGAAUCUAGGGGGACCAUCCUCUAAGGCUAAGUACUCCUCAGCGACCGAUAGUGAACUAGUACCGUGAGGGAAAGGUGAAAAGAACCCCUGUUAGGGGAGUGAAAUAGAAUCUGAAACCUGUUGCCUACAAGCUGCGAGAGCUACUUCGGUAGUGAUCGCGUGCCUUUUGUAUAAUGAGUCAGCGAGUUACUCUACCGUGCGAGGUUAAGCGAAAGCGUAGCCGUAGUGAAAGCGAGGCUUAAUAGGCCGACUAGUACGUUGGAGUAGACCCGAAACCGGGUGAUCUAUCCAUGAGCAGGUUGAAGCAAGGGUAAAGCCUUGUGGAGGACCGAACCGUCAACGGCUGAAAACGUUCCGGAUGACUUGUGGAUAGGGGUGAAAGGUCAAUCAAACCCGGUGAUAGCUGGUUCUCCCCGAAAUAUAUUGAGGUAUAGCCUCGGGAAUUGAUUAGCGGAGGUAAAGCACUGACAGAGCUAGGGGUCCUACCAGAUUACCAAACUCUAUCAAACUCAGAAUGCCGCUUAAUUGUAUCCCGGGAGUCAGACGGCGGGUGCGAAGGUUCGUCGUCAAAAGGGAAACAGCCCAGACCAACAGCUAAGGUCUCCAAAUCCAUGCUCAGUGGUGAAGGUAGUGGAACCGUUUAGACAGCCAGGACGUUGGCUUAGAAGCAGCCAUCGUUUAAAGAAAGCGUAAUAGCUCACUGGUCUAAUGGCUCUGCGCCGAAAAUGUAACGGGGCUAAGCAUGGUACCGAAGCUUUGGCAAUCUCCUUUGGAGAUUGGGUAGGGGAGCGUUCGCUGCGGGCUGAAGGUGUGUCGGAAGGCAUGCUGGACUGCAGUGAAGUGAUUAUGCUGACAUGAGUAACGAUAAAAUAUGUGAAAAACAUAUUCGCCGAAAACCCGAGGUUUCCUGGGUAAAGGUAAUGUACUUGUUGUGUAGCGCGAUGGAGGGACGCAGGAAGAUAGGCGGGCCGGGUGUUGGAUAUCCCGGUGCAAGCGUGUAGGAAUAUCCGGUAGGCAAAUCCGCCGGACGAAUCUGAGACGCGAGUCCGUGGGCGCAAGCCCUGAAGCCGUUGAGUCUAUGCUGCCUAGAAAAGCUCCUAAGUUUAUCCACAGCAAUCCGUACCGCAAACCAACUCAGGUGGGUGGGAUGAACAAUCCAAGGCGCUCGAGAGAACUCUGGCCAAGGAACUCGGCAAAAUAACCCCGUAACUUCGGAAGAAGGGGUGCUCUCUAGGGUGACAUGUUUAACAUAUGAAGCCCCGGGGAGCCGCAGUGAAUUGGUGGUGGCGACUGUUUACUAAAAACAUAGGUCUGUGCGAAGUCCUAAAGACGACGUAUACGGACUGACGCCUGCCCGGUGCUGGAAGGUUAAAAGGAGGGGUCAGCGCAAGCAAAGCUCCGAAUUGAAGCCCCAGUAAACGGCGGCCGUAACUAUAACGGUCCUAAGGUAGCGAAAUUCCUUGUCGGGUAAGUUCCGACCUGCACGAAUGGCGUAACGAUCUCCACACUGUCUCGGCCAGAGACUCGGUGAAAUUGCAGUCGCGGUGAAAAUUCCGUGUACCCGCAGAAAGACGGAAAGACCCUGUGCACCUUUACUAUAGCUUGACAUUGGAUUUUGGGCCUGCAUGUGUAGGAUAGGUGGGAGGCUGCGAACCCUGUACGCCAGUAUGGGGGGAGCCAUCCUUGAAAUACCACCCUUGCAUGUUUAAGAUCCUAACUUCUUCCGGUUAUCCCGGAGAAAGACAGUGUCUGGCGGGUAGUUUGACUGGGGCGGUCGCCUCCUAAAGUGUAACGGAGGCAUGCAAAGGUUCCCUCAGCCUGAUCGGAAACCAGGCGCUGAGUGCAAACGCAUAAGGGAGCUUGACUGUAAGAGAGACAUCUCGAACAGGAACGAAAGUUGGCGUUAGUGAUCCGGUGGUCCCGAAUGGAAGGGCCAUCGCUCAUUGGAUAAAAGGUACGCCGGGGAUAACAGGCUGAUCGCAUCCAAGAGUUCACAUCGACGAUGCGGUUUGGCACCUCGAUGUCGGCUCAUCACAUCCUGGGGCUGAAGCAGGUCCCAAGGGUACGGCUGUUCGCCGUUUAAAGUGGUACGCGAGCUGGGUUUAAAACGUCGUGAGACAGUUUGGUCCCUAUCUUCUGUGGGCGAAGGAGAAUUGAGAGGGCCUGUCCCUAGUACGAGAGGACCGGGAUGGACGCACCCCUGGUGAUCCUGUUGUCGCGCCAGCGGCAUAGCAGGGUAGCUAUGUGCGGAAGGGAUAACCGCUGAAAGCAUCUAAGCGGGAAGCCUGCCUCAAGAUAAGUUCUCCCCUCGAAAGAGCUGAAGGGCCCGGGUAGACUACCCGGUCGAUAGGCUGGAGGUGUAAGCGCGGCGACGUGCUCAGCUGACCAGUACUAAUAGCCCGAGCGGCUUAUUUUU
rnacentral:rRNA from 1 species